CGUGACUACAGUUCUAGUUAAAGGGAAGUUCUGCAACCACUUCCGCUCACUUUUUCUGUCGCAUCUUUGCGGUUCGGCUGGCAGAACUUGCGCCUCGCACUCACCAGCAGACCCGAUGGGAAACGUAGAAGAAGAGGAAAAGUUUGGGCCUUACUUUGAGCCUUCGACUGGAAAAAAGCGGCAAUGAAGAAGUCUUGUGACUGGGAUUUGUCCCGCCGCUCUCCCCUCUCCUCCUCCUCCUUCAGCUGGAGCUGCUUAUGUCGACAGCAGUAAACUUGAGGAGAAAAUCCUGCGUCAUCCUCCACAGCGGAAAAACCUCGGCUUUCACACGGCGCGUAAACACGAAGCGAGCGCGUUUUGAUAUGGUUUAUCUACCCGAACACGACACAUUGGACCUGACUGUAUUUUUCUGUAUUUACCCGUUUUUUUUUUUGCCACUUAAAACUGCAACAUGUAAGCUAAGUGUCACGUAAGCGACACACGACUACAACUUCCGGUUUUGUCCUUCAAAUCUCAAAACUGUCGAAUCUGCUUUUCAAUCACAACAUAACAAAUUUUACAAUCAUAUACUCAAUAUCAGAGGUGUGUUCUUACAGAUUUAUUCGUGUCUUUGGGAUGUGAAUCUAAGUCUUCUUUUUCUUUCUUUUCUAAAAAAAGUUAAACUGUGAAUUUUAUUUUCGAGGCAUGAGGAUGUUUAUUUCCGGUUACACUUUUGCACUUGAUAAGAAAAUACUAAAUAUCUAAAAACCAGGACAACUAGUCGAGUGAAGAGUCGUUGCUUGUCCUUUUGAUGUGUGUAUGGCGUUUUUAAAUGGGUCAGUGGAGCAGUUUUACUAAUCAGUCCUCGAUGUUUUCCUAAAUCUUAAAGUUCGUUACUAAAUUAACCCAGAAAAUGCUUUGACCAUCAAACGAAUUUGAAAAGUGGAAUUUUAUCUGAGUACUCUAGUUCUUCUUUUUAUGUUUCUCAAAAACUGGAGACCGAAAAAUACUAAAAUAAAUUUUUUUUUAAAUGUUUUGGUAUCUUGUAUUGAAUUUCUUAAAUGCAUAAAGCUAGUCAUUUUAACCUAUAAAUUAUGUGGCGCGUAAUAUGUGUAAAUAUUAAUUUACAUGCAUAUAAAUUCAUAUUUAAAAGGUAAAAAAUAAAAAAAUAAAAUCAGCCAAUUUCUUCAUUGAUCUUCAUUUGAUAGAUUUGCAGGUCAAAAGUUAUUUAAGAAAUGUAUGCAGGACAAAAAGAGAAAACUGUGUAUGUGAAUUGUAGUGUCAAACUGAUUGAGGGGAGUCGUAGUUUUCUCAUAAAGCACAAAAGCUCAACUGUACCAUAGGAGCUGCAGCCAUGCUUACAAUCAUUAAAUGAAUCUUUAGGAA